CCCUUAGACGUUCUGGGCCGCACGCGCGCUACACUGGUCGAUGCAACGAGUUUCUUUCCUUGGCCGACAGGCCUGGGCAAUCUUUGAACAUCGAUCGUGAUCGGGAUAGAUUCUUGUAAUUUUUGAUCUUAAACGAGGAAUUCCUAGUAAACGCAAGUCAUCAGCUUGCAUUGAUUACGUCCCUGCCCUUUGUACACACCGCCCGUCGCACCUACCGAUUGAAUGGUCCGGUGAAAUCUCCGGACUGGCGUGAGUCGGAGCAAUCUGACAAACGCCGGAAAGUUGAUUAAACCUUACCAUUUAGAGGAAGGUGAANUCGUANCA
rnacentral:rRNA from 1 species